CACUCCCCACAGGCUACUCCAUUCUGGCCCUAUUUAUCCUCAUCUCCCCAAAGCUCCUGCACCCCGCCUUUCUCCUCCCGACCUCCCCCUCGUUCUAGCCCCAGCUUCCCUCUGCCUCCACUUCACCCUAUUAAGAAACAACCGCCCCACAGAAGCCUCUGCCCCUGGCGGCAGCUCCCUGAGCCCCGCCCGCCCUCCCUCCUCCUGCAACUGCUCCUCUCCCUGACAGAUGCCUCAGAGCCCCGGGCCGCAGUUAAGGUGACGAGAUGCAGCAAUUCUUUAUGAACAUUUCAUUCCUGCUCGCUACACGACGUAAAUUAGAUGGUGUGUUACAUUCGGGCAAUAAGAGAGAUAUGUCACCACGACGCUGGCCCAUUGGAUGGAGAGGGGGUUUGGCGAAGAGCGGAAAGGAUUUCACCCUGAUGUGCACACUACUGAGUGACCCCCGCUCACCAGCGGCUCCGCUGAUUGCUUUGCACCUUGCAGACUUCGAUACUGGCUCAGCCUCUUGCCGGCCUCGCUCCCUCCGCUCCCUCUGGGUCUCCAGCCCACCCCUCCCCUGCCUGGCUUUCUCUUGAAGCCAAAGCCAAGAGACCUAACAGAGGAGUCACAAAGGUCAUGAAGGGAUGGAUGUCUCUGUGGGGAGGAGUAGGGCGACAGAGCUA
rnacentral:lncRNA from 1 species